rnacentral:rRNA from 1 species
ACGAGUGGCGGACGGGUGAGUAAUGUCUGGGAAACUGCCCGGUGGAGGGGGAUAACUACUGGAAACGGUAGCUAAUACCGCAUAACGUCGCAAGACCAAAGAGGGGGACCUUCGGGCCUCUUGCCACCGGAUGUGCCCAGAUGGGAUUAGCUUGUUGGUGGGGUAACGGCUCACCAAGGCGACGAUCCCUAGCUGGUCUGAGAGGAUGACCAGCCACACUGGAACUGAGACACGGUCCAGACUCCUACGGAAGGCAGCAG